rnacentral:rRNA from 1 species
UGCAGUCGACGAUGAUGAGUAGCUUGCUACUCUGAUUAGUGGCGCACGGGUGAGUAAUAUAUAGAUAACGUACCUCUUAGACUGGGAUAGCCAUUGGAAACGAUGAUUAAUACUAGAUACUCCUUCUAGCUCUAAUGCUAGUCGGGAAAGUUUUUUCGCUAAGAGAUCGGUCUAUAUCCUAUCAGUUAGUUGGUGAGGUAAUGGCUCACCAAGGCAAUGACAGGUAGCGGGUUUGAGAGGAUGAUCCGCCACACUGGUACUGAGACACGGACCAGACUCCUACGGGAGGCAGCAGUGAGGAAUAUUGCACAAUGGGGGAAACCCUGAUGCAGCAACGCCGCGUGGAGGAUGACGCAUUUCGGUGUGUAAACUCCUUUUAUAUGUCAAGAAAAUGACGGUAGCAUAUGAAUAAGCACCGGCUAACUCCGUGCCAGCAGCCGCGGUAAUACGGAGGGUGCAAGCGUUAUUCGGAAUCACUGGGCGUAAAGGACGCGUAGGCGGGUUUGUAAGUCAGGUGUGAAAUCCUACAGCUUAACUGUAGAACUGCACUUGAAACUACUGACCUAGAGUAUGGGAGGGGGAGAUGGAAUUAGUGGUGUAAGGGGUAAAAUCCGUAGAUAUCACUAGGAAUACCUAAAGCGAAAGGCGAUCUCCUGGAACAUAACUGACGCUAAGCGUGAAAGCGUGGGGAGCAAACAGGAUUUGAUACCCUGGUAGUCCACGCCCUAAACGAUGACACUAGUCGUCGUGAUGCUAGUCAUUGCGGUGAUGCACUUAA